UACGUAGGGUCCGAGCGUUGUCCGGAAUUACUGGGCGUAAAGAGCUCGUAGGUGGUUUGUCGCGUUGUUCGUGAAAACUCACAGCUUAACUGUGGGCGUGCGGGCGAUACGGGCAGACUUGAGUACUGCAGGGGAGACUGGAAUUCCUGGUGUAGCGGUGAAAUGCGCAGAUAUCAGGAGGAACACCGGUGGCGAAGGCGGGUCUCUGGGCCAUUACUGACGCUGAGGAGCGAAAGCGUGGGGAGCGAACAGG
rnacentral:rRNA from 1 species